UUCACCUUUAAGACCGAGUGAAAAAAAGAAGAAGUUGAAGCUACUGGUGACUGAUGGGAGUUUUUCUUCCUGACCAAUUAUCAGCCAUUUCCAAGAAUUGACAGCAAAUCUGACCAUUAAAAAGUGAAUUCAACUUGUAAACACCCCCUUAAGAAGUAUACUCGGAGCUUUCUCGUUCUCUUUCUGGUUUCCGGCGUUUGAGAGGUAACAAGCUCUGUGUUAGUUUCCCCCCCCCCUCCCAGGCCCGGGACAAGGCCGCAGGGAUGGGGGGGGAGGAGGAGAGAAAAGCCGAGCUUAACACUUUUGUUUAGUUUUCAAGGUCUGCUGCUAGACUGAAACCUGACACUAUGAACUCUUGCAGCUUUUCUAAGGCUUUAAUUUUUUUUUACUACCUGAUAAACGUACAGAUUACUCUUUUUUGCUAGAAAGACAGAGAAAGAGAGGCAAUCAACAUUCAAAAGACAUCAUAAAACUACUAAAAACAGUGAAGAAAAGAGUUAAGUUUAAAUAAGAAAGAGAGAAAAAGGAGAUGCUUGUUGCUGAAAAGUCUUUCUGUUACAGCUAUGGAGAUGGACAGUAGUUUAAAGACUCCUUUAAUUCAUGACUAGAGUAUGGGAGGAAUAGAGUAUUCAAAGUGUGGACUUUAAAGAGAAGAAGGGUGGUUAUAAUACUGUGAGUUGCUGGAACUUGCGAGUGAAGUGAAGAUUUUAAAGCCUUAAAGGAGCCAAAGAGAUGGCUGUUUUCCAGGAAGGCUCACAGAAACAACUGAAAAAAAUUUCUACCUUUGAAUCACUUAUCCUUAAAAAUAACAUCCCUAGAUUCAAUUUGACCCAUUGCACACCUCAGAAUAGUGUGAGAUGGGAGGAGUGGACUCUAGAAACUCCAUGGAUUAGCAGGAAGAGACUUCUGUUUCUCUACGGGGACUGAUGAGAAGACUCUAGAAAUUGAGACUGUUUUUGACCACCAAGAUUGUAAAACUAUUUUUUUUGUCUCUAUGUUGUUAUGUGUACAAAGAAAUAGUCAAGUAGUGAAAAGAAAAAGAGUUUUCUGAAAGUUUAUUUUGGUAUUCUUAUUCUAAUAGUUUGUUAAUAAACUGUCUUUAUUCCUUUUAA